UUCAGGUUCUGAAAAAAGGCACAACAUAGUAUUUCUAAAGAUGACCCAUAAGAUUUAAUAAAUGGUUGGACUCUAUCCCCUACAUAAUGCAGCCCAAGUUGUUUUAUUGAACUUAUCAUGUGGGCCAGCCCAAUUCGUAAUUUAGCAAGAAUGUUUGUUAAACUUUUUUUUUUAAUUCAUGACCAUACAAAAAACAAAAAAAGGAACUCCAUGAAUGAGAAAAAGUUAAAAAAAAAACAAGUGAAAAAUGAAAAAUAAAAAUGUUUAACGGAUGGUAAUCUUUAAGAAAAUUUUAUUCGGAAAGAGCUGUAGUUAUGCAUUCAAUCUGGGAUGCCAGUGAUAGCCAUGGAAACAUAGACAAGCGAACCUACACUUUGAAGCAUAAACAUUAUGAAGACUUUCAAGACAUCUGUAUUCUUUAAGAUCGACUGUUGAUGUUGAGGUAUGUUCUAUUGGAGAUCAAUUAGAACAAGUAAGUAAUAUGCUAUGCAUCAAUAAAUAGGAGAACCGUUUGAAGCAUG